ACUACAAAUAACGAGCUUUUUCGUAUAAUCCCGGGAAUGGGCCCGGGAGUCUCUACAGGUCACCGUAAUGAUCUCGCUACGAAAAGAAGAGCGGCAAUA
rfam:Paenibacillus sp. Y412MC10, complete genome.